UGGCCACAAAAGAGUAAUUACAAAGGUGU
rnacentral:piRNA from 1 species